rnacentral:antisense_RNA from 1 species
GGAUGAGCUACUUGGGCUUAGCUCUUUUAGAGGCCAAAGUUUAUUUUCCCUACAAUCCUCCUCACAUGCUUGGGCCCCACCCUGGACUCUUAAUGUAGAAGUAAAAACCGAUGCUGAUAACAGAAAGAAAUGCAUGAUUUUCUUUGGUAACUCAGUACCAUUUCAUCAUUGUCCGUCACGCUGAGGGAUGCCUUAUAAAUUCAAUGGCUCAUGCAAUGGAAACAAAUACUUCCUUUAGUAAGGAUGGCUGUGUUGAAUCUUGGCCUGAAAGAUCUUUGACCUGAAACAAAACUACAACAUCCACAGAAACAAACACUACAUAAAGUGUAUGGAUCUGGAGUGAAGACGAAGUAUCUGGAUGGCAAGACUCUCUGUAUAUUUGUCAUGCAUUCUGAAGUGGUAAUUGAAGGCAUUGAUGUGAGCUAAUAGACUUUUUUCCAAAGGAGUGACCUUAAAAGAAAAAUCAAAGAAAUGUGAAAUCCAAUACUGUAAUAAUAUCACUGCUCUCAAAUCUCCAGGCAGCCUCUAUUGAUUGAUCUGAGUUGGCAGAUGAGUUGGCAGUUUUUUAUCUACAAGUUGGGAAUAAUAUAUGCAUUACGAAGAGAUUACAAGUACUAACUGGAGAAAGCAAUCUGAGACCUUGGCAAAUAAUAGAUUAUCCAACUUAAUUCCAAUAUUAUUAAAAUUAGUGAUCAUUAGCUGGCACUUUACAACAGAAAUGAUCUGAAUAAAUUUUCAACAUAUACAUACUCUGAUAUCAUGACAGAAAAAUGCAAGGGCAGUGACUGGAAGCUGGGAGAGAGGGUCAACAGCUGAAUCUCAGCCUGAUGGAGGCCACCAUUUAAU